rnacentral:rRNA from 1 species
AUUGAACGCUGGCGGCAGGCUUAACACAUGCAAGUCGAACGGUUAAAGGCAGCAUGCUCCUGAAGUCUGCGGCGGGCGGGUGAAAUGUGCCUAAAAAUGUGCCUGCUAGUGGGAUAUAACGUCCGGAAACGGGCGCUAAUAGCGCAUACGUCCUGAGUGAGAGAGUGGGGCAUUAUCGGCCCGCACGCUAUCAGCUGACCCUAGGUCGGAUUAGCUAGUUGGUGGGGUAAAGGCAUACCAAGGCGACGAUCCGUAGCUGGUCUGAGAGGAUGAUCAGUCACACUGGGACUGAGACACGGUCCAGACUCCUACGGGAGGCAGCAGUGGGGAAUAUUGGACAAUGGGCGAAAGCCUGAUCCAGCAAUGCCGCGUGUGUGAAGAAGGCCUUCGGAUUGUAAAGUACUUUAGGUUGGAAGGAAGGGGAGUUAGUUAAUACCUUGGUGUAUUGACGUUACCAACAGAAUAAGCACCGGCUAACUACGUG